UAUGAUUUAGUAUAGUAUGUACAUAGAUUUUUGAUAUCUAAGGAAGUAGUUUAAACCUAUUAAUCAUAA
rnacentral:tRNA from 1 species